GAUGAAGAACGUAGCGAAAUGCGAUACGUAGUGUGAAUUGCAGAAUUCCGUGAACCAUCGAAUCUUUGAACGCACAUUGCGCCCUGUGGUAUUCCGCAGGGCAUGCCUGUUCGAGCGUCAUUUCAACCCUCAAGCUCUGCUUGGUGUUGGGCCCUGCCCGCUGCGGCCGGCCCUAAAGACAGUGGCGGUGCCGCCUGGCCCUGAGCGUAGUACAUCUCUCGCUCCAGUGCCCGGUGGUAGCCUGCCAGAACCCCAACUCUCGUGGUUGACCUCGGAUCAGGUAGGGAUACCCGCUGAACUUAAGCAUAUCAAUAAGCGGAGGA
rnacentral:misc_RNA from 1 species